AACGCACAUUGCGCCCAUUGGCAUUCCGAUGGGCAUGCCUGUUCGAGCGUCAUUAUCCUCCCUCAAACCCCUGGGUUUGGUGUUGGACCUCAAAGCCGUGCGCGCACAGCUUGGUCUCAAAGACAAUGACGGCGUCCGUGGGACCCUCUUCGCAACGAGCUUCUCGGAGCACGCGUCGAGUUUCAAGGACCCUCCGGGCCCGGUCUCCCUUCUAUUCUUCUAAGGUUGACCUCGGAUCAGGUAGGAAUACCCGCUGAACUUAA
rnacentral:misc_RNA from 1 species